CACACACACACACACACACACACAGACACUGCAGCUCCUCAGUUUUGGGAUUAGUUUUUGGGAGUUUGGAGUGGCGGCUUCAGCUCGUGAGCGAUUAGGGCGUGCAGUCUCUCUGGGGCCUUUGUGGUUUGGAGAGCGUACAGAUGAAUUAUCUGUGUGGUUUUCGGUAAGGGGGGGGGGGGGGUAGUUAAUCAUCUCGUCCCUCCCCAGGCAUUUCGGGAGCCCUGAGCUCCAUAAUCAAACCUUAAGCCCCACAGCGUGCUCACAGAAGCAGAAGGCCCCGAAGAUGCAGAGCUUCUUUUUCCUGUGGUCACUGUCGGCACACGCCUCUGUCCGCUGUGUCAUCCAUCAUCCUCAGGCUUCGGCAGGUAGCAGCUGGAUCCGGAGCCUCCACCUGGAUGUCAGGACUCUUUCAGCAUCGACAGAACCAUCCACAAAACUCAGUCCAGCUAAAAGGAACAAGGGAAGUCACAGGAAAUGCAUCUCUGAGGAAGUCGACUGUUAGCAUUGUUUAGGAGAACACUGAAAACUCCACCUCCAAUCCCACAGUGCUAAUCAGCGACCCUACCAAGCCACUGUCACAGUGACGUUGAGGAGACACGUCAACUGAACCCAGGCCUGGUGCUGCCAGAUUAUCCUCUCUUCCUUAACGUAGGGAAUCGCGACGCGCGUUCAGACAGACGCGGAAAUGGGAGUGUGGGACCAGGGUUCGAAUGCGCCUGGGUGCCUCCUGGGUGCGACCCUCUCACCUCGUUUCACCUCCUUGGGGCAUCGGGAGGACAGGCGCCAUCUUGUCAGCGAUGUCCCAUCGCUAUCGAGUACCCCCAAAGGCUAGCCGGCGCAUCACACCUCUUCUUCAGUUCUCUCCUUCUUUUUGAUCAUUUUCCUCCCCAAAUUCUAUCAGGAUACAAGUCUCAACAUCACCCAAACAUACAGUAAGAGUCACACCAGGAGUGUCAACACCCCCCCCCCCUUCAAAAAAAAAGAAAACUCUCUCAUCAUACACCUGGAGUCUCUCUGCUUGAUGUUAUGCUUAACUUAACUAGAAUGCUUAAUUAAUGACCCCCACUGCAGAGUAGGGUGCUGGUUUUGCACAAGACAAGCCUCCACCCAGCCUCAUGUUGGACAGU